rnacentral:sRNA from 13 species
GCCGGGCGUGGUGGCACAUGCCUGUAGUCUCAGCUACUUGGGAGGCUGAGGUGGGAGGAUCGCUUGAGCCCAGGAGUUCUGGGCUGUAGUGCGCUGUGCUGAUCGGGUGUCCGCACUAAGUUCGGCAUCAAUAUGGUGACCUCCCGGGAGCGGGGGACCACCAGGUUGUCUAAGGAGGGGUGAACCGGCCCAGGUCAGAAACG